rnacentral:lncRNA from 1 species
AGUUCUAGGUUAUAUAUAUCAGUGUCAAUUGUAAACUUAUCCUUUUAUAAUCGAGAAAUCUUUGAGGGUUAGUAUUGUAUGGUUCGAAAAUGGACUCACCCUUCUAUCCUUAUUCAGUUAAAUAUAUGGUUUUUGUCGAUGGCUGAAUCUGAACCGGUGACACGUGAUUAAUCCACACAUCAUAUGUUGUGCUCUUAUCACUGGACCAAAGCCCUGGCCCCUGGGGCCAGGGGCGGACCUAGGUAGAGCCCAGGGGGUUCACCCGAACUCCCUCGUCAAAAAAUUACACUGUAUAUAUAACAUCAAAUUCUGAUUUUAUGUGUAUAUAUAUUAAAAUGAACCCCCUGAAAACAAAUGACAGACUUGGCUCCAUGGAUAAGUGGUUCAUGUAGCACCCCUAUGUCAUGGGUUCAAGUCCCAAUGGCAACAUUUUUUCCCUUUUUUAAUAUUAGCUUUGGAAAAUGGAAUUUUUGGGCUUAGACCUUCUUCUUCUUUUUCAUUAUUUUUUCCUUUUAUUCCAUUUCUUUUUUUUAAUUUAUUUUUGUUUAAAUUUAUUAGACACAUUCUUUUUAUUUUUAUAUUUUAUUCUUUUUAUAUCUAUUAUUCAUUUAGUUUCAACGUAACUCUUUUUCAUAUAUGUUUGAAUAAAUUUUUAAAAAAAAUGAUGAAUUAUAUUUAACUUGAAAUUGAGAUAGAAAUAUAGUUUAUUUUUAAAAAAAAAUGUAAAUUAGAUGUAAUUGAAUGAAGAAACUUAAAUAUCGUCAACGUCCUUUUAAAAAUAUUAAUUUAAUAGAAUUCAUGAAUUUUCUUUUAUAUUUUUAAUUCUAUUUUAGUGGGAUGAAAACUAAACUUAUUUGAUUUAUUCGUUAUUUAUUUAUUUUUUUACAAAUUAUGACUAACCUAGUAAAUUGAACUAUAUGAACUAAAAAAAUUGACGAUGAUAUUUAUUUAUAUUAAUAAUAUGCAUUAUAAUAUUAGUAACUCUAUUCUUACACACUACUUUUAGAGAAUUUUGACGAUUUUCAUAGUAAUAUUUGAUUGAAUGGAUAUUAAUUUAAAAUUUUUAAAAAGUGAAAUAUAAAGUAAAACAUUACAAAAUAAAAGUAUAAAAAGCAUAAGAAAUUUUAAGAAUGCUCGAUGGAGCAUGAUAAAAGUAAAAAGAAAUGUUUAAUACGGUAUGAUAAAGUGAGUUAAAUUUAGCAUGAUAAGCUAAAUAUUUUUCUUCCCCGUCUCGCUCCCUUUUUCAUCAUUUAAUUUUCAUGUGUUUUAGGAAUUAACUUAUGUAAUACAGUCGAUCCACUAAAAUUCUUAUCAAUGCAACUUUGUUCUCGAUAUCUUUGAUUAGCUUAGUCUUUACUUUUAUGAACCAAUGAAAUAUCUAUGGUUCGUGUACAAAGAGCAUGCCGAGGGGCUACUACGCUCACCGCGCACUUGCAUUACCACCUAAAUUUCUUCUUUAUACUUCGAACCCCCUUAGCAAAAAUCCUGGAUCCGCCACUGCCUGGGGCUAUGGUAUCCUUCAAGUUUAGUAGAUUAUUUGCAAAGGAAAUGAAGCAUUUUCUCCAAAUGGUUCCCAUUUUAUAGUAUCUUCAAGGUUUAUGUUGAACAGAACUAGUGUUAUUAGCACCACACUGUCUGUUGAACAACACUAAGGGGUCGUUUGUUGUUGGUUAGGAAGUGAAUUAUAUUCAUGUAUUAAAUUAGUACCACGUUUGGUAGCAUUUUAGUUGUUAUGUAUAAAAUUCAGC